UCUUCGAUAGUAUAGUGGCUAGUAUAUUGCCUUGUCAGAUCCCUUGCAGGAUCCAACGCGGCAGAGACCCGGGUUCAAUUCCCGGUCGAAGAG
rnacentral:tRNA from 1 species